AGAGUUUGAUCCUGGCUCAGAAUGAACGCUGGCGGCGUGCUUAACACAUGCAAGUCGAACGGUAACAGAAGAGCUUGCUCUUGCUGACGAGUGGCGCACGGGUGAGUAAUGCAUAGGUAACGUGCCCCUUAGUCUGGGAUAGCCACUGGAAACGGUGAUUAAUACUGGAUACUCCUUCUUUCUUAAUGAGAGUCGGGAAAUUUUUUAGCUAAGGGAUCGGCCUAUGUUGUAUCAGGUAGUUGGUGAGGUAAUGGCUCACCAAGCCUAUGACACAUAGCGGGUCUGAGAGGAUGAUCCGCCACACUGGUACUGAGACACGGACCAGACUCCUACGGGAGGCAGCAGUGGGGAAUAUUGCACAAUGGACGAAAGUCUGAUGCAGCAACGCCGCGUGGAGGAUGACACAUUUCGGUGCGUAAACUCCUUUUAUAUGAGAAGAUAAUGACGGUAUCAUAUGAAUAAGCACCGCUAACU
rnacentral:rRNA from 1 species